CAUGUCUUUUUGAAUAUGAUUUAAAGUCUAAUCUGCUCAAUGAAAUAUUAAAUAGCUGCAGUAUUUUGACUGUACAAAGGUAGCAUAAUCAUUUGCUUUUUAAAUGAAAGCUGGAAUGAAUGAUUGGACGAGAAAAUUACUGUCUCAUAAUUAACUAUUUGAAUUUUACUUUUUAGUUCAAAGGCUGAAAUAUUAUUUUUAGACGAUAAGACCCUAUAGAGCUUUAUAUAAAUUUUAUUAUAUAUUAUUUGGAAUUAAUUAUGUUUUUAUAAUUUUUAUAUUUAAUUGGGGUGAUUUAAAAAUUUAAUUAACUUUUUAUUUAUGUAGUUAUUUAUUUGUAAAUUUUUAAUCUAGAUUUUCUUAGAUAAAAAUAAGUUACCUUAGGGAUAACAGCGUAAUUUAAUUUUUGAGUUCUUAUUAAAAAUUAAGUUUGCGACCUCGAUGUUGGAUUAAAAUUUAUUUUAGA
rnacentral:rRNA from 1 species